AUUGAACGCUGGCGGCAGGCCUAACACAUGCAAGUCGAGCGGCAGCGGGAAAGUAGCUUGCUACUUUUGCCGGCGAGCGGCGGACGGGUGAGUAAUGCCUGGGGAUCUGCCCAGUCGAGGGGGAUAACUACUGGAAACGGUAGCUAAUACCGCAUACGCCCUACGGGGGAAAGCAGGGGACCUUCGGGCCUUGCGCGAUUGGAUGAACCCAGGUGGGAUUAGCUAGGUGGUGAGGUAAUGGCUCACCAAGGCGACGAUCCCUAGCUGGUCUGGGAGGAUGAUCAGCCACACUGGAACUGAGACACGGUCCAGACUCCUACGGGAGGCAGCAGUGGGGAAUAUUGCACAAUGGGGGAAACCCUGAUGCAGCCAUGCCGCGUGUGUGAAGAAGGCCUUCGGGUCGUAAAGCACUUUCAGCGAGGAGGAAAGGUUGUAGCUAAUAACUGCCAGCUGUGACGUUACUCGCAGAAGAAGCACCGGCUAACUCCGUGCCAGCCGCCGCCGUAAAAC
rnacentral:rRNA from 1 species